UACGAGGGGGGCAAGCGUUGUUCGGAAUUAUUGGGCGUAAAGGGCGCGUAGGCGGUCUGAUAAGUCUUGUGUGAAAUCUCUGGGCUCAACCCAGAGUCUGCACAGGAAACUGUCGGGCUUGAGUAUGGGAGAGGUGCGUGGAAUUUCCGGUGUAGCGGUGAAAUGCGUAGAUAUCGGAAGGAACGCCGGUGGCGAAAGCGACACACUGGGUCUCAACUGACGCUGAGGCACGAAAGCCAGGGGAGCGAACGGG
rnacentral:rRNA from 1 species